UACAGAGGUCUCAAGCGUUGUUCGGAUUCAUUGGGCGUAAAGGGUGUGUAGGUGGCGCCGUAAGUCGGGUGUGAAAUUUCGGAGCUUAACUCCGAAACUGCAUUCGAUACUGCGGUGCUUUGAGGACUGGAGAGGAGACUGGAAUUCAUGGUGUAGCAGUGAAAUGCGUAGAGAUCAUGAGGAAGACCAGUGGCGAAGGCGGGUCUCUGGACAGUUCCUGACACUGAGACACGAAGGCCAGGGGAGCAAACGGGG
rnacentral:rRNA from 1 species